UACGGAGGGUGCGAACGUUGCUCGGAAUCAUUGGGCGUAAAGCGCACGUAGGCGGCGGCGUAAGCGGGAUGUGAAAGCCCAGGGCUCAACCCUGGAAGUGCAUCCCGAACUGUGUCGCUUGAAUCUCGGAGGGGGACAGAGAAUUCCCGGUGUAGAGGUGAAAUUCGUAGAUAUCGGGAGGAAUACCAGUGGCGAAGGCGCUGUCCUGGACGAAGAUUGACGCUGAGGUGCGAAAGCUAGGGGAGCAAACGGG
rnacentral:rRNA from 1 species